UACGGGGGGGGCAAGCGUUGUUCGGAAUUACUGGGCGUAAAGGGCUCGUAGGCGGCCAACUAAGUCUGACGUGAAAUCCCUCGGCUUAACCGGGGAACUGCGUCUGAUACUGGAUGGCUUGAGUUCGGGAGAGGGAUGCGGAAUUCCAGGUGUAGCGGUGAAAUGCGUAGAUAUCUGGAGGAACACCGGUGGCGAAGGCGGCAUCCUGGACCGACACUGACGCUGAGGAGCGAAAGCCAGGGGAGCAAACGGG
rnacentral:rRNA from 1 species